rnacentral:rRNA from 1 species
CCAGACUCCUACGGGAGGCAGCAGUGAGGAAUAUUGGUCAAUGGACGGAAGUCUGAACCAGCCAUGCCGCGUGCAGGAAGACGGCUCUAUGAGUUGUAAACUGCUUUUGUACAAGGGUAAACCUGAAUACGUGUAUUCAGCUGAAAGUACUGUACGAAUAAGCAUCGGCUAACUCCGUGCCAGCAGCCGCGGUAAUACGGAGGAUGCGAGCGUUAUCCGGAUUUAUUGGGUUUAAAGGGUGCGUAGGCGGGCAUUUAAGCCGGCGGUCAAAUGUCGGGGCUCAACCCCGGCCUGCCGUCGGAACUGGGUGCCUUGAGUGGGCGAGAAGUAUGCGGAAUGCGUGGUGUAGCGGUGAAAUGCAUAGAUGUCACGCAGAACCCCGAUUGCGAAGGCAGCAUACCGGCGCCCUACUGACGCUGAGGCACGAAAGUGCGGGUAUCGAACAGGAUUAGAUACCCCAGUA